rnacentral:sRNA from 1 species
AAACACCAGUCCACACAGGGUUCCCAUGCAUGGGCCUCGACUACAAGUCAUUUCCCUGUCCGAUCCUUGGCUGUUUUCUCCACCUGCAGUUGUAAGUACUUGGAUAUGUGAGAAUUUCCUAUGCUUUCUAAUGUUAUUUUUCAACUUUAAAAGCUUCAGUUACAGUUAAACCAAGAUCUCAGCAUCUUGCAUCAAGAUGAUGGUUCAUCUAAGAACAAGAGGGGCGUCCUGCCAAAGCAUGCCACGAACGUGAUGCGGUCCUGGCUCUUCCAGCACAUCGGGCAUCCCUACCCAACAGAGGAUGAGAAAAAACAGAUUGCUGCUCAGACAAAUUUGACACUACUCCAAGUCAACAACUGGUUCAUCAAUGCCAGAAGACGAAUUCUUCAGCCAAUGUUGGAUUCAAGUUGUUCAGAGACCCCCAAAACAAAGAAAAAAA